rnacentral:hammerhead_ribozyme from 1 species
AUAGUUGACGAGUCUCAAAUAGGACGAAACGUGCGUCCUGGAU